AUCGAGUACAGUACUCUCAUUUUGCGCAGUGUUAAGCAGCGCGGCUGCUGGAUGCCAACCGCGAACCUCUGUCACGUGCGGGAAGUCGUCUCGCCGCGUUCGAAGCGCAAUGCGCUAACCGUUGCGCCACCGCUCCACUUCCCCCCCCACCACCCACGGCCCCCCACCCCCCACAGCCCUCCUCCCCUUCCCCCCCCCAUCGCUGUUUCCUGCCGGGAACCGUGGAACGGCAACUGCGCAACUCUUUGAGUGAAUACGACACGAGCAGGGGACUCACUCACACACUCACUCAUGAGUCGUGACUGGCUCACACACUGGCGCACACACUGGCUGAUCCUGGCUCACACACUGGCUCACACACACUGGCUCACACUCACUCACACACUCACAUACACUCACACACCGGCUGAUACUGACUCACACUCACACACACAUCGACUGAUACUGGCUCACACACUGGCUCACACACACUGACUCACACUCUGACUCACACCGACUGAUACUGGCUCACUCACUGGCUCACACACACUCACACACACUCACACACACUCACACACCGACUGAUACUGGCUCACACACACUUACUCACACACUCACACACACUCACACGCCGACUGAUCCUGGCUCGCACACUGGCUCACACACUGGCUCACUCGUCGUGACCGGCUCACUGGAGGGGCGCCCGGCUCACACCGACUGUGUCGCGCCAAUCGCAGAGCCCCACGGAGAGUCACGGAGGAGGAGGAGCGGUGUGACAACGAGGAGUGACGACGAGGAGUGACGACGAGGAGUGACGACGAGGUGUGACGACGAGGUGUGACGACGAGGAGUGACGACGAGGUGUGAUCACGUGGUGUGACGACGAGUGACGAGAGGAAGCCUCCGCCCCUGGGCGUGAGGAAACGGGAAGCGCAGCACCCACGCCCCUGUUUCCUCCCCCCACCACGCUCCUGCACCCCCCCACGGACCCACCCCACGGACCCACCCCACGCACCUGCCCCCCACGCACCUGCCCCCCACGCACCUGCCCCCCCUCCACGCACCUGCCCCCCCACGCACCCCCCACGUUUCCCCCCCACACCACGCCCUGCUUCCUCCC